rnacentral:rRNA from 1 species
GAAUACGUUCCCGGGCCUUGUACACACCGCCCGUCACACCAUGGGAGUGGGUUGCAAAAGAAGUAGGUAGCUUAACCUUCGGGAGGGCGCUUACCACUUUGUGAUUCAUGACUGGGGUGAAGUCGUAACAAGGUAACCGUAGGGGAACCUGCGGUUGGAUCACCUCCUUA